ACAUCUUUACAUAAUUCACUUGCUUCAUCCUAUGGAGAAACUCUUGCAACAAAUAACCAGAGAAAUCGGGAUGUCAAUCCCCUCUAUAUUCGACGUUCCUUUCCAAUUAUUUAAACCCCCAUUAUGCGCCAGUUACUCCCUCACAAAACCCUCUACUCUGACUCCCCUAUUUGUCUUGAAGUCGUGCGAAGAAGUUUUGACUUAGACUCACCAAGUCGAUCGAGAUUUACAGAAGAUUAAGGUGAUUGUCGGAAUCAAGACGAUUGGAAUCGUCUAUGCGACUAUUGGGAGUCAGAAAAAACCCGGAAAUAUAGUGAUCAAAUGGAACUUAACAGAAGAAAACAAGUAAAUAUAAGCAGGGGGCUCUCGGUCGAUAGCCAAUCAUGCAUUCAAAAUUAGAAAUCCCAAGACUCAGUUGUCACCUAGCCCAUUAGAAGUUUACUACAAGCUGCACUAUAAUGCCAAGAAAAACGGAUGGCUAAAUGAAGAUUCACGUAUUAUAUAUGAUAAUAUUUGUAAACAUAAAGAGGCGGCCAUGGCUAGAUUGAAUACCGAAGGAACCAUCGUUACUACUGCUAUGGAACACGACGUGGAGAGAAAAGCCAUCAAAAGUGUAUGUGGCAGGGCUAAAACAAUACAAUCAGCAUAGGAGGUAGGUGUUGGUCCUAUGUUAAGG